AUUUUAUUUAUAUUUAUAUUUAUAUAGAAUAUAUAAAAUAUAUAUAUUUAUAUAUAUUUAUAUAUGUAUCUCUCUCUCCUAUUAGUUCUGUCCCUGUAGGGAACCCUGACUAAUACAGAGGCCAACCUAUAUGAAACACACCAUCAUUUAUUGAGUGCUCUGUGGUUGCUAGCCAUGGGUUCCUGCACUUUCCAUUGUGGUUCCCCAACUUUCUGCCCACGCAUUGUAAAUAGGCUUUUAAAAAUAAACAUCCAUUGAAUUGUUCUAAAGUGAAUGCACCAUUUCUUCCUACUGGGGCCUUGACUGAUGGGGGCAGAAUGAUAAUAGCAGCUACCUCACAUUCCUGAUUUGAGAAUUAAAUGUUUUCGCUUAUGCUUUGUGUUAAAACAGUGCCUGGCACAUAGUAAGUUUUUAUUAAAUGUGAUUAUUAUUAGCAUUGUCCCUCAUCACUUUCUUAUUUUGCCUUUUACUCUGUAGAUUAAGUGGAGAGCAUAUUGUUUCUUAAUACUCCCUGCACCUUAUCACUGCCAUACAGUAAGACGCGAUUUUGGCUGCCAGGAGACCACCCCCCUUUCUUUUUCUGCUCAUCUUUUACACUCCACUUAGACAUUUUCUUUGCUGACAAGCUUUUUUCGUUGCCAGUUAACAUUGUGUCUUCAUUUGAGUCCCCACAACCCUUCCUACCCUCUCUCUGUGUGGUUUCUACAAUCCAUUUAUUCUGAGAUUUAUGUGUGUCUAUAUAUACCAUUUCCUCUACCACUCUGUUAGCUCUUUUAAGGCAGAGAUUCAAUCCUAUUUACUUUUUCUUCUUUUUCAAUACUUUGCCCUUAAUCAGCCAAAGAAAAUUUAAUACCAGCCUCCCACAAUCUGUUCUUCCCAUAGCAGCCAGAAUGAUCUUUUGAAAACAUAAUUGAGAUCAUGAUGCUCCCCUGCUAAAAUCCUCCAGGGACUUUCUUCUGCACUUGGAAUAAAAUCCACCCCUCCCACUGAUGUUUACAAAGUCAAAUCAUCUUCCCCUACCUGCGUCAUCAACCUAUCUAGAGAUUCCUUGAAUAUACUUUUCUUGUUUCUGCUUCAGAGCCUUUGACUAUCUGUCCCCUCUCCCUAGAAUAAUAUUUUUUCAGAUUCCUGCAGGACGGGCUCGUUCACACCACGCAGCCCUCAGUUUUUAUGUCACCUCUUUAGAGCAGUCUUUGUCUCCAUCUAGUCUAGGGUGACUAUUAAGUUACUCCCCAUUUCAUCACCCUAUUUACGUUUUCUACACAGCGCUUCUGUUUGUUUUUCUUAAAACAGCUUUAUUGAGAUAUACUUUACAUACCAUAACAUUCAUGUAUUUAAACUAUGCAAGUUGGCCUGGGCAGGGUCGCUCACGCCUGUAAUCCCAGCACUUUGGGAGGCUGAGGCAGAAGAAUUGCUUGAGGCCAGGAGUUUGAGAUCAGCCUGGGCAACAGAGUGAGACUACAUCUCUACACAAAACUAAAAAAUUAAUCGGGCAUAGUGGCACAUGCCUAUAGUCCCAGAUACUUGGGAGGCUGAGGUGGGAGGAUUGCUUGAGCCUGGGAGGUUGAGGCUGCAGUGAGACGUGAUUAUACCACCGUACUUCAGCCUGGGCAACAGAGUGAGACUGCAUCUCUACACAAAAUUAAAAAAUUAAUCGGGAGUAGUGGCACAUGCCUGUAGUCCCAGAUACUUGGAAGGCUGAGGUGGGAAGAUUGUUUGAGCCUGGGAGGUUGUGGCUGCAGUGAGACAUGAUUAUACCACUGUACUUCAGCCUGGGUGACAGAGUGAGACCCUGCCCCCAAAAAUAAUAAUAAUAGAAUAAAUAAUAAGAGUCAAAAAAUUUUGGUAUAUUUAUAGAGUUGCACAACCAUCAAAUUUUCAUAAUUUUAAAACAUUUUCAUCACCCAAAAAGAAACCUUAUACCCAUUAACAGAAAGAGUUACCCAUUUCCCCAUCCUUCACUCUUUGUUUUAACAUCUAGCUGCUGGAAACUGCUAAUCCACUUUCUCCGUCUAUUGAUUUACCUAUUCUAGAUCUUUUGUAAACAUAGAACUAUAUAAUAUGUGGUCUUUUGUGACUGGCUCCUGUCACUUAGCAAAUUUUUGAUGUUCAUAAUGUAGCAUGAAUCAGUACUCAUUUCUUUUUAUUGCCAAAUACUGUUCCAUUGCAUGGACCUGCCAAAUCUUUUGUACUUUUUUAUUAGUUGAUAGUCAUUGUGUUGUUUCUGGCUUGUUUUCAUUGCUUAUUUUUCUGUCCCCCUCCAUGACAGAAGAGAAGGGGUCUCAUCCAUGUCUGUCUCAUUCAUUGCUGUAAAACCACGUGUGUGGCUCUGUUGCCCAUCUGCCCAUGAGCUUCUCCCACUCCUGCUGAUAACAGACUAUCCUCCUCACCCUGCACUCUCACAGGAGCCCACCAGGCUUGAGUUGCCAGAGCCCAUGCUCCCCACCACAAAGAAAAAGGGGUUCUUGGGCCAAGAGAAGGAGGCCAUGAUUUAAGGAGAAGCAAAGGCAAGAAGACACAAAAGGCAGUCAAAGGGAGUGCCAGGUCCCAGCUGCCUGAAGCCUUAGAUCCCAUCACUUUCCUUUGACUGAACUUCUCCAGGCUCUUCCCAGAUUCAUCCAAACUAAGGAAAACAGCAGAACUUUGUCAAGGACCUUUCCUGGGUUCCGACUUAUACCUAAGGCAGGCUUUCUAGAGAUGUACAUCAACAUCAGAACACAGGAGAGAUCAAGAAGAGAGAAUCUGACAUUCGAGUUUCUGUUGUCACCUCUUGCCCUCCUACUCCCUCAUCCUGCCACAUGCUCCUGGCCCACCCUUUCUUUAAUAUGCCUCUCUCUCAUCUGACCUUGGUACUACAGCCAUGUGAAUUUGUUCAACAUACCUCAAACUGGCCGUUUGCCCCUCUGCCUUCUUUUUGUUUCUCAGCCUGUCAAACUCUUAUUCAUCCUUCAAAGCCCAACUCAUGGCCGAGUGUGGUGGCUUACACCUGUAAUUCCAGCACUUCGGGAAGCCGAGAUGGGUGGAUCACUUGAGAUCAGGAGUUCAAGACCAGCUUGGCCAACAUGGAAACCCUGUCUCUACUUAAAAAAAAAAAUACAAAAGUUAGCUGGGCAUGGUGGCGGGUUCCUG
rnacentral:lncRNA from 1 species